CUCACCUCCUCACUUCCUCGGACCACCCCCUUAAAGAACCUUUUGCACUUGAACCUCAGGGCCUGCAGAAGAGGUCAAGCACCUUACAUGGGGGUCCAGUGUAUUGUGGUGUCAGAGGCUUCUUGGCCUAACCGGUGUGUCUCUGCUCAGAUGGCAUCCUGGACUCUCCUUCCCAACCGUACCUCACAGCACGGUGACGGCUUGUCCUGAGCACCAGCUAAGGUGAAACUUGCCUUUUCCUCUUCCUCUUCCUUUUGCUUUUUUUUUUUUUUCCUCCUAACAUGAGUCAAGUUCCUGGCAUAGGGCAGGGCCUCCACGGUCAUUGCUUAUUAUUGGGGAGGGUGAAAUGCUGAUAGAGCCGCUGGGAAUGCGUGCUCCGUAUCUGAAGAGGCCCCCAGAGACGGUGGAAGAAACCACAUUGAACUCGGUCAUCUCGGGAUGUACCCUGAAUGUUUUGUGUCUUGGCUUUCCCCCCCCCUUGGCUGGGUUGUGGGGCUUUUCCUGAGCUGGGUAGGGAAGGGAUAGAGCUGAGAGUGUGGGCGUCUGCCUAAGUCCUCUUGAGGUUAUUGGAGAGGCUAUUAUUUGUCUUUUUUUCUCAUCUUACUCCGUAUCAACUUGGGGGAAGAAGAGGGCAGGACCCGGUGUCCCACCUUCACCCCCCGAGGCCCCUCCGCCCUGUCCACCGGCUCCCCGCGCUGCCUGCGUUCCUGGCCGUGUCGUUCGGAUCCUUCGGGCUCACUGCGGUGGCAGCUUGGCUUGGACUAGCGAGGGCUGUCUCCUCUCGGUCCUCGGUGGAAACUUACUUCUUAAGAGAACAAGCCGUAAACAGCAAGCAGGCUGGUGACCGGAGCGCUCUGUUCUAACAGUGCGGAGAACAGGUACCUCGCAUCCCUCUCCCCCAGCCACGCAGCGAGGGGCGGGGCACGGGGAGGGGCCUGGAGGCCCGCAUCUGGCUGCUGGCUUCCUCCAGGCCUCAGUCUCCCCGUCUGCAAAAGGGGUGAACAAUAAUAGCGUUCACCACACUGGAAUUUUUUGUUCUACUUUUCUUGAAGAAUAACAUCCAUAAGCACAGCCACUGUAUGCGUGCAGUCGACAGAUGUUUCCAAACUGAGCACGCUCAGGUAACCAGCAUCCAGAUGAAGAACCAGAACUUUCUUAAGACUCCUCAUGGUCUCCUUCUCUGCAGAAGAGGGUUGUUUUGAGGAUAGAUGAGCUGAUAUUUGUAAAGUCCUCAGAAGAGUGCCUAGCACGGAGUAAUCACUUUAAUCACUAUUUGUUAAAAAAUAAAUGAAUUAGAAGGGAACUUCGGCUUUCUGAGGUUGCAGCUUCUUACUUUAUUUUAGUGAAAGCACAGCUAUCUUGCAAGUUCAGGCCCCCGCUCUCUCUCUCCUUAACGUGCAGCAGGCAGGAUGAAUUAAGACUCUUCAAAAUAAUCAAUUAUUUCCUUAUCACAGAAGGCCAGAUGGUGCAUUAUUCGGCAAACAGCUUCUGUGGAAUGCCAACAAUUUUGCUUUGAUGAGAAAAGAAAUAUGCAAUUAGGCUGCUGUCAUCCUCAACAAAGAGCCAGAUGUACGGCAGCCAGCCCUCCAGGAGGAGCCAACACAGCCUGGGCCCAGGUUAGGGGUCCGGGGGUGAUGGGGGAAGGAGGUCUGGAAGGCACUUUGUCACCUGCACAUGCCACGAGAGACACAAGGAAAACUGGCCUGAGGACAGUUCCCCUGGAAUUGGCCAAAAUGGCCUGAAGCAGGGUCGAAGAGUUAGUACAUGCACAAUUACCUCCACACAAUGUUUUAAAACUUACAAGCAGAGGAAAUGGUUAUGCCAUUAUGGUGACGUGUUGUACUUUUAUUCAACCUUGGAAUACAUCUGUGUUCCUUCCCUUGUCUUUGUUACACAAAGCCAAUUAAAGAAAAAACAUCAAAAAAUCACAUUGAACCAUUUAGAAGGGGGAAAAAUGAUGGUUAAUGACGUAUUUUCUAGAACACAUGAAAUUCUGGGAAGGUCGUUAAGUAUUCUCUUCUACCAUCACCUGGGACCACUUAUAGAGCUAUAAAGACACAGGGAAGAAGGUGAAAGAGGAUCUGGAGACAUCUGAUUGGGGGAGGGGGGACGAGAGGGCAGGAGGCAGCUCCUGGAGGUGUUGGCGUAUCAUGUGGCCCUGGAAGGUACUCUCACAUUUUGCAGGGAGAGGCCUGGACAGUAAGAGCAGUAAGGGAAACAGCCAGGUACUGGUUUCUAAAAAUUUAUAACAUUCUCUGGAGGGCAGAGAGACCUUUUUAAAUCUUAGAUCUUACUGAUUUCUCUGGACAAGGGUAGCCAGCGAUUUUUUUUUAAUUAAUAAGUAAAUUUGCUUCUGAGUUGUAGGUCCAUGUUCCAUUUUCUGGAAAUCAAGAGCUUUUUUUUUUUAAAAAAAAGAUUUAUUUAUUUAUUUGAGAGAGAGAGAAAGAGAGAGGGAGUACGAGUUGAGGGGGUGGGACAGAGGGAGAGAGAGAAUCUCAAGCAGAUUCCCCACUAAGCAUGGAGCCCAAUGUGGUGCUCCAUCCCAUGACCCAUGAAAUCAUGACCUGAGUUGAAAUCACGAGUUGGUCGCUUAACCGACUGAGCUACCCAGGCGCCCCAAGACCAUUUUUAUUAGGUUUAGACUCAGUCCUCUUUGGGCAUGUCUCAGAGGCCAGAGCUGCUUCCAUGGUGUAGAAUGCCACCACCAUCCCUGAGUGGGGCCUCUGUGUGUCUCUGUUGGAGGAAUUUGGUAUAGAGAAAGGUCCAAAUGGGAAACCAACUGGGGAUGUCAUGGCUCUUCCAGCUCUUUCUUCUGUCCAGCCACAAAGAAGUUGGAUGCAGUCCCCUUUACCUUAAUUCAGGGUUUUUUAAUCAAGAAGAAAUGUAGGUGACUUGGGUGUGUGUGCAUGAGGGAGAGAGAGAGAAAGAAGGAGGUAGAGAGAGUACUUCAUUCAAUGCCUAUGAAUGUCUGAACUCUAAUAACUUGGGUGUGCAGAUUCCAUAGAAACAAUCCAUGUAUGAUGUCCCAAAAUAAUUUCAUUAAAAUCAGGGCCUUACACUGUGCAUGAAACAUCCGGAUUUCAGAUCCUGUGCAAAUUGACUGUGGUUGCUGUGGGCAGGAGGAAAGU